CUAUGACUCCGGUGACAUCACCCUCAUCCGGCUGAGGAACCCCUGGGGCUUCACAGAAUAUAACGGCCCCUGGAGUGAUAAGUCCCCGGAAUGGCGCGCCGUAUCUGAGGAAGAGCAGAAAGAGUUGAACCUGGAGAAGGAAGACGGCGAGUUCUGGAUGCUGUGUGAGGAUUUCUGCUGCUUCUUCUCCUGGAUGGUCGUCUGUCACACCAACCUGGACUCCCCUCAUUGUAACGUCACUCACCUGCGUGGUCGCUGGCAGCGCGGAGUCAACGCUGGAGGGGGGCGGAGACUAAGAACAUUCUUCAACAAUCCUCAAUUCCGCUUCCAUGUGGUUGUGUCUUC